GCGGGAUUAGCUCAGUUGGUUUAGAGCGGCGAAUUUUAACCUCGCAUGUCGUCGGUUCGAACCCGACAUCCCGCACCA
rnacentral:tRNA from 1 species